GCCAAACUUGGGAGCAAGCCCCUUCCUCUUUCCAAGGUCACCCCAGCUGCCGGUACCCCGUCCCACCGAGGACUCCCGUCCAAGUUACCGCAGCCUACACGUCCCGGGACCUGGCCGCAUCCCUGGGCUGUAGCUCUCACCAAGCCUGCGCUUCUGAAGUCUUUAAUAAACAUUUGAGGUCUGGAAGGGCAGCAGACAUCUUGAAACCACAAGACAAAAGAUACGAAGAGGAAAGCUAAGGAUGGCAGAGUGGAAGCCUGGAGAGAGCCUGGGUCACUUAGAGCUUGGAUGAGUUGCCUUCCAGAUCUGGGCUUCUACUCCUCAGUAUAGAGGAUGAAUGUGAGGGAGAUUUGGAGACACAGAUGACAUACAGGGAGGAGCUCUGUUGGAAAUGGAGGUAGAGGGUGGAGUGAGGCAGCUACAAGUCCAGGAGCUCCAUGGGUUGCUGGAAAGCACCAGAAGCUAGGAGAGAAGGAACCAAUUCUCCCUCAGAGCCUUCAGAAGGAAGAACUCUUAACAGCUUGAUUUCAGGCUCCUGGCCUCCUGAACUGUGAGAGAAUAAAUUUCUGUUGUUUGAGAUACUCACUAAUAUAAUAGGUCUGUGGAAAACAAACCCCAAAACUGCUGUUUGACUGAUAAAUCCCAGGGGGACUGUGAGACCAAUAGCUUUUCCUCAGUCUUGGCUGGAGAUGAAGGAGGAGUUCCAGUAGUUUAUCUAAUAUUUAAUCCCCUCAGUGAUGGUACAGUUCUGCUGCAGACAUGGAGGCAUGGUGGGAUGCUCCCCAGACCUCUAGCCCUCUAGCUCUUGGCCUGGUGACU